rnacentral:rRNA from 1 species
UACAGAGGUGGCAAGCGUUGUUCGGAAUUACUGGGCGUAAAGGGCGCGUAGGCGGUUUUGUAAGUCCCGCGUGAAAUCCCCCGGCUCAACUGGGGAACUGCGUGGGAAACUGCGAGGCUUGAGUUCGGGAGAGGGAAGCGGAAUUCCGGGUGUAGCGGUGAAAUGCGUAGAUAUCGUGAGGAAGACCAGUGGCGAAGGCGGGUCUCUGGACAGUUCCUGACACUGAGGCACGAAGGCCAGGGGAGCAAACGGG